ensembl:lncRNA
GGUGUCGAGCAUGAACUCUUUGCCCUAGGCCUAAUACCCUAUGGACAUUAAUUACGAAUACAUUCGGAGACUUGCAAAGCAGAGUCCCGGACACUGGCCUACUGUGAAUUCACUCUGGGCAGCAAUCUCCUGAUUCUCCUGGCAUCUUUCCUCUGUGUCUCAGCAGGGACUCUGAAAUGGCCUUUGGACUCAGAUUGGACCCAUGCCGUCAAUUCUUCUGGAUCUCCAGCUUGGUGACUGCAGAUGUUGGGAGUUCUCAGCCUCCAUAACGGCAUGACGCAAUUUCUUGCCUCAGUGUGGGGAUCACCUCCACAGGGAAGACUCCUCUGACCCACUAUCCUCCCUCCUGAGGUUAGCACCAUUCACGGCCCUAUUUCCUUUAAUAUGGAGUUAAUUUUCAGUUUGGACUUUGUGUCACCAGUUCUUAUUGUGUGACUCUCAACUUAUUUACAUGUAAGAAGCUGAUGACUUCGUUGGCACUGGUGUCCGGCUGCAGACGGAGGAAGCAAUUACGUUGAGAAACAGGAUGACGCCACUGAGUGCUAAAACUCACUCUGGAGAGCUAUCAGAUGAUGGAAGUCUUUGAAAACUAGUUGUUCUUAAAAAAAUCAAAAUACGCAGCUGUGCCGCUUACAGCACGACAUCGUUCUUCUACAACACGGGAAAAAGAGAAACUGGUUCAAGUCAUACGACAGGCUGUCCUGUGGGAGAGCUGGAGGAGGAAUCGGACUCAUUGGCAGUCACAAAGGAGGGCUACCCAUACCCGGGUCCCAGGACAUUGGAGAAAUCCAGAGUUAUGCUGCAAAUUGUGCUUCUGGGCGUUCUUAAGGCAGAUCCUCUGUUUCUGACCAGACUUGUUUUAGUUUCCUAUAUGACCAGCUGCUCAAGUGUACUGCCAUUAUCCGUCAACUCCACAUGUCCAAACUAACAAAAGUGAAUUGCUUUUAGUGUUGCUUCCAAACUGGUAGCUGGCUGACAUCCACCUGCUCUGUGUUGGUGAUUUUGUAUGCUAAUAUCCCAUAGGUAAAUGCCAUGAAACUGGUUAAAAAGCAUCUUUGUAGUUUUUUCUCCCCAUCCUUUAUGGCUUAAGGGAAGACUGGAAAAUUUAAACUUCCAGUAUGGUCAGUGCAGAGACAAAUCCAAACACUGCUGUUGCUAGUCAGAAACAGGCCUUGUAAAAAGCAUAGUUUCACAUCUUCUGAAUGUGGAUGAAUAAUGAAAGUUCUCUUUUUCAUUAUCAUAUGUCUAUAUGAUAUGGACAUCACUUGCAGCCUUCCCUAAACCCAUAAAUAACCCUUUUGACCCUAGAAGAGACUUGGAAUAUAGCUUCUCUCUACGUCAGCAUUCCUCUCUUCUGUCAUCAUUGUUGAACUAGAGAGCAAAGAUGGUGAUAUAUCACAAUACAUAGUGAUAGAGAGGAUGAGGAAUAUGAAAUCCUAAGAUAAUGCAAUGGUAACUUCAAAUAUAUUUUGUGGAUGUAUAUUUCACCUAAGCAUUUGAAGUAUGUCCUGUGAUUUUACAUUCCUUACUAACAAAGUUAUUAAAUUCAAAUAUCCUAUAUAUACCUCUUUCAAGCAUUUAUGAUUACAUCAUCAUUUCAACAAGACCAACAACUAUUGCUUAUUCUUCUUUGAAUGCACUCUGCCUUUUUGCCUUAGUCGCAGUGCAUUUAUAAACAAGUUUAGCCAUGGUUCUCAAUCCAAAGAGAUAUUAGACAGGUAACUGAGAAAAGAUAAAGAAUAGAAAUGUAUUAUUACCCGACAGUCUUUUGUUGAUGACAUGACAUCUCCAUCUUGACUCCCACUUUUAUUCCUUAAUCUUUUGUGAUACCAAAAGUCAUUACAAUUAUGGAAGCAGAUCCUAGAAUUUCUAUGCUCUUCAAUGUUAACUGCAUUGCCCCUGAUUUGAGGAGCAAUUGUAGGUCUCUUUGGAAAUGACUAAUAAAUAAGUAGUUACAAGAUAUUUUGUGUAACAGAAUUCCAAAUUUAAUAAAAGUAUGAAC